rnacentral:rRNA from 1 species
CACGGAGUUAGCCGAUCCUUAUUCUUUAGGUACAUUCAGCCCACUACACGUAGCGGGGUUUAUUCCCUAACAAAAGCAGUUUACAACCCAUAGGGCAGUCGUCCUGCACGCGGCAUGGCUGGUUCAGGGUUGCCCCCAUUGACCAAUAUUCCUUACUGCUGCCUCCCGUAGGAGUCUGGUCCGUGUCUCAGUACCAGUGUGGGGGAUUCUCCUCUCAGAGCCCCUAGACAUCGUCGCCUUGGUGGGCCGUUACCCCACCAACUAGCUAAUGUCACGCGAGCCCAUCCAUAUCCUAUGAAUAUUUAACCGGAAGAUGAUGCCAUCCUCCGGUUGCAUGCGGUGUUAAUCCGGAUUUCUCCGGGCUAUCCCCCUGAUAUGGGCAGGUUGCUCACGCGUUACGCACCCGUGCGCCACUCUCACCAUCGGUAGCAAGCUACCGAUGGAUCCCGUCCGACUUGCAUGUAUUAGGCCUGCCGCUAGCGUUCAUCCUGAGCCAGG